UCUCUGAAUACCUGAUCAUGACCCAAGUCAUGACGAUGUUGGUGGUGGGUUGCACAAUCUUUGAGAAAACAACAGAGGGCAGCAACAUCAAGUAGUAAAGAAUCGACAGGGGGUGAGAGAAAAGUGGCUGAAAGACAACACAAAAAAAAGUUUGAGAUCUGGAUGCUGCUCACCUGCCUCUGAGCUACAAAAAAAAUCUUCAAGUAGAUGCAGCUCAUAAUGACUGCAG